CUUAUCAAGAAAGACGUAGGGAUUUGGCCCGUUGAUGUCUUAGCAACCCUCGCCACUGCGGGAAGGUGCUACUUCCGACCUCAAAAUUGAGGAAAGAUGAG
rnacentral:ncRNA from 1 species